CCUAGCGAUAUGUAAGUUAGUGGCGGACGGGUGAGUAACGCGUGGGUAACCUGCCUUGUACUGGGGGACAACAGUUGGAAACGACUGCUAAUACCGCAUAAGCGCACAGCUUCGCAUGAAGCAGUGUGAAAAACUCCGGUGGUACAAGAUGGACCCGCGUCUGAUUAGCUGGUUGGUGAGGUAACGGCCCACCAAGGCAACGAUCAGUAGCCGGCCUGAGAGGGUGAACGGCCACAUUGGGACUGAGACACGGCCCAAACUCCUACGGGAGGCAGCAGUGGGGAAUAUUGCACAAUGGGGGAAACCCUGAUGCAGCAACGCCGCGUGAGUGAAGAAGUAUUUCGGUAUGUAAAGCUCUAUCAGCAGGAAAGAAAAUGACGGUACCUGACUAAGAAGCCCCGGCUAACUACGUGCCAGCAGCCGCGGUAAUACGUAGGGGGCAAGCGUUAUCCGGAUUUACUGGGUGUAAAGGGAGCGUAGACGGUUUUGCAAGUCUGAAGUGAAAGCCCGGGGCUUAACCCCGGGACUGCUUUGGAAACUGUAGAACUAGAGUGCAGGAGAGGUAAGUGGAAUUCCUAGUGUAGCGGUGAAAUGCGUAGAUAUUAGGAGGAACACCAGUGGCGAAGGCGGCUUACUGGACUGUAACUGACGUUGAGGCUCGAAAGCGUGGGGAGCAAACAGGAUUAGAUACCCUGGUAGUCCACGCCGUAAACGAUGAUUACUA
rnacentral:rRNA from 1 species